GAAUGUCUUCGGCAUAACCAUUCAACUUGGAUGUUUAUGCCAUUGAAUGUCAUCGGCAUAAACAUUCAAAUUGGAUGUUUAUGCCGUUGACUGUCUUCGGCAUAAGCAUUCAACUUGUAUGGUUAUGCCGUUGAAUGUC